rnacentral:rRNA from 1 species
GACGAACUCUGGCGGCGUGCUUAACACAUGCAAGUCGAACGGAAAGGCCCUGCUUUUGUGGGGUGCUCGAGUGGCGAACGGGUGAGUAACACGUGAGUAACCUGCCCUUGACUUUGGGAUAACUUCAGGAAACUGGGGCUAAUACCGGAUAGGAGCUCCUGCUGCAUGGUGGGGGUUGGAAAGUUUCGGCGGUUGGGGAUGGACUCGCGGCUUAUCAGCUUGUUGGUGGGGUAGUGGCUUACCAAGGCUUUGACGGGUAGCCGGCCUGAGAGGGUGACCGGCCACAUUGGGACUGAGAUACGGCCCAGACUCCUACGGGAGGCAGCAGUGGGGAAUAUUGCACAAUGGGCGGAAGCCUGAUGCAGCAACGCCGCGUGCGGGAUGACGGCCUUCGGGUUGUAAACCGCUUUCGCCUGUGACGAAGCGUGAGUGACGGUAAUGGGUAAAGAAGCACCGGCUAACUACGUG